UUUGACGGAGCCGAUCCACAGGGGCCGGUCCUGGGCGGGGCGUUCCUCGCCGUAGGUGGCGAGCAGGGCUCCGGCUUC
rfam:Streptomyces tsukubensis NRRL18488 Contig018, whole genome shotgun sequence.